rnacentral:misc_RNA from 1 species
GAAAUGCGAUAAGUAGUGUGAAUUGCAGAAUUCAGUGAUUCAUCGAAUCUUUGAACGCACAUUGCGCCCCUCGGUAUUCCGUGGGGCAUGCCUGUUCGAGCGUCAUCUACACCCUCAAGCUCUGCUUGGUGUUGGGCGUCUGUCCCGCCUCCGCGCGCGGACUCGCCCCAAAUGCAUUGGCAGCGGUUCCUUGCCCCCCUCUUUGCGCAGCACAUUGCCAUUCGAGGCGGCGGCGGCCCGCGUCCAACAAGCUCAACCCCCCCGUCUUUGACCUCGGAUCAGGUAGGGAUACCCGCUGAACUUAAGC